AACGAACGCUGGCGGCAUGCCUAACACAUGCAAGUCGAACGAGACCUUCGGGUCUAGUGGCGCACGGGUGCGUAACGCGUGGGAACCUGCCUUUAGGUUCGGAAUAACUCAGAGAAAUUUGAGCUAAUACCGGAUGAUGUCUUCGGACCAAAGAUUUAUCGCCUUUAGAUGGGCCCGCGUUGGAUUAGCUAGUUGGUGGGGUAAAGGCCUACCAAGGCGACGAUCCAUAGCUGGUCUGAGAGGAUGAUCAGCCACACUGGGACUGAGACACGGCCCAGACUCCUACGGGAGGCAGCAGUGGGGAAUAUUGGACAAUGGCGAAAGCCUGAUCCAGCAAUGCCGCGUGAGUGAUGAAGGCCUUAGGGUUGUAAAGCUCUUUUACCCGAGAUGAUAAUGACAGUAGCGGGAGAAUAAGCUCCGGCUAACUCCGUG
rnacentral:rRNA from 1 species